rnacentral:rRNA from 1 species
UGGGGAAUAUUGCACAAUGGGCGGAAGCCUGAUGCAGCGACGCCGCGUGAGGGAUGACGGCCUUCGGGUUGUAAACCUCUUUCAGUAGGGACGAAGCGUAAGUGACGGUACCUGCAGAAGAAGCACCGGCUAACUACGUGCCAGCAGCCGCGGUAAUACGUAGGGGGCAAGCGUUAUCCGGAUUCAUUGGGCGUAAAGCGCGCGUAGGCGGUUUGUUAGGUCAGGAGUUAAAUCUGGGGGCUCAACCCCUAUCCGCUCCUGAUACCGGCAGGCUUGAGUCUGGUAGGGGAAGGCGGAAUUCCAAGUGUAGCGAUGAAAUGCGCAGAUAUUUGGAAGAACACCGGUGGCGAAGGCGGCCUUCUGGGCCACGACUGACGCUGAGGCGCGAAAGCUAGGGGAGCGAACAGG